ensembl:lncRNA
AAUUGUGUGUGGGAGAUGAGAAUCUGUUGGACUACGUUAGUCGAUUUCGUGAGCUCCAACACCAAGCCUGUGCUUUCGCAAAGGAAGCUCUGUCUUCCUCACAGAGGAGUAUGAAAAGACACUAUGAUAAACAGGCUGUUUCCUGUCCACUACAGCCAGGUGACCAAGUACUGGUUUUAUUGCCUGUUCCAGGAUCUUCACUGUCAGCUCGAUUCUCUGGUCCUUAUUUCAUUGAAAAUAAAUUAAGUGAAACUGAUUAUGUGCUUCAAACUCCUGAUAGAAAACGCCAAUCUCGUGUGUGUGCCACGUUGACAUGUUGAAGGCAUACUACACCCGACCCAGUUAGAUGGUUCAAAAAUAGCGGAAGGUACUGCUGUCUCCUCUGCUUCUACUGCUAUGAUAGUGGGCUGUCAUAUUAAUGAUGUUGAUGGAGAUGGAUUAGAGUUGCGCAAUACUCAACUUGUUUUUCAACCACUCCACAAAUGUCUUGUUAACAAACUAUAGUUUUGGCAAGUCGGUUAGGACACAAGUAAUUUUUCAAACAGUUGUUUAAAGACAGAUUAUUUCACUUAUAACGCACUGUACCAAUAUUCCAGUGGGUCAGAGUUUACAUACACUAAGUUGACUGUGCCUUUAAUAAAAAGCUUGGAAAAUUCCAGAAAAUGAUGUCAUGGCUUUAGAAGCUUCUGAUAGGCUAAUUGACAUCAUUUGAGUUAGUUGGAGGUGUAUCUGUGGAUGUAUAUCAAGGCCUACCUUCAAGCUCAGUGCCUCUUUGCUUGACAUCAUGGGAAAAUCAAAAGAAAUCAGCCAAGACCUCAGAAAAGAAUUGUAGACCCCCACAAGUCUGGUUCAUCCUUGGGAACAAUUUCCAAACACCUGAAAGUACCACGUUCAUCUGUACAAACAAUAGUAUGCAAGUAUAAACACCAUAGGACCACGCAGCUGUCAUACCGCUCAGGAAGGAGACACCUGUCUCCUAGAGAUGAACAUACUUUUAUGCGAAAAGUGCAAAUCAAUCCCAUAAGAACAGCAAAGGACCUUGUGAAGAUGCUGGAGGAAACAGAGGACUUGAGCCCUUGGACCAUACCUCAGGACUACCUGGCCUGAUGACUCCUUGCUGUCCACGUGGAUGUGCUGCUGCUCCAGUUUCAUAUGCUCUGCCUGCGGCUAUGGAACCCUGACCUGCUCACCGGACGUGCUACUUGUCCCAGACCUGCUGUUUUCAACUCUCUGGAGACCGCAGGAGCGGUAGGGAUACUCUGAAUGAUCGACUAUGAUAAGUCAACUGACAUUUACUCCUGAGGUGCUGACCUGUUGCACCCUCGACAACCACUGUGAUUAUUAUUUGACCCUGCUGUUCGUCUAUGAACAUUUGAACAUCUUGGCCAUGUUCUGUUAUAAUCUCCACCCGGAGAUCUCCACCAAGCUAUGUUAUAAUCUCCACCAGGCUAUGAGGACUGGCCACCCCUCAUAGCCUGGUUCCUCUCUAGGUUUCUUCCUAGGUUUUGGCCUUUCUAGGGAGUUUUUCCUAGCCACUGUGCUUCUACACCUGCAUUGCUUGCUGUUUGAGGUUUUAGGCUGGGUUUCUGUACAGCAUUUUGUGACAUCAGCUGAUGUAAGAAGGGCUUUAUAAAUAAAUUUGAUUGAUUGACAUUUCAUUUUCUUGAAAUAAAGUGGUGAUCCUAACUGACCUAGGACAGGGAAUUUUUACUGUGAAAAACUGAGUUUAAAUGUAUUUGGCUAAGGUCUAUAUAAACUUCCGACUUCAACUGUACCUCUCAAAUACUUUCAGGUUUCUGUCGGUACCGAUCUUUAAAGAUUGGAGGGUUGACCAUUUUUACAAUCUACAAUGCAAUCAAUACUUUAUAUUGUGCUCCAUUCAAUAAUAUGAGAUUCUGUGGCUUGAUAAAAUAUUUC